GGGUGAGUAACACGUGGGUAACCUGCCCUUGGAUGGGGAAUAACCCCGCGAAGAGGCGGGGGCUAAUACCGCAUAACAUUCUUGAAACCUUGGUUUCGAGACUCAAAGCCUGCAAAGGCGUCCGAGGAGUGGCCCGCGUACGAUUAGCUAGUUGGCGAGGUAAUGGCUCACCAAGGCUUUGAUCGUUAGCCGGUCUGAGAGGAUGGCCGGCCACACUGGAACUGAGACACGGUCCAGACUCCUACGGGAGGGCAGCAGUUGGGGAAUAUUGCGCAAAUGGGCGAAAGGCCUGACGCAAGCGACGCCGGUGGGGGAUUGACGCUUUCGGAGUGUAAAACCCCUUUCGAAUCGGGGCGAAUGCCUCGCAAAGAAGGAGGUGACGGUACCGGUAAGGAAGAAGGCCCCGG
rnacentral:rRNA from 1 species